UACGUAGGGUCCAAGCGUUAUCCGGAAUUACUGGGCGUAAAGCGUGCGUAGGCGGCGCGUUAAGUGAGAUGCGAAAUCCUGUGGCUCAACCAUAUGGACUGUGUCUCAUACUGACGUGCUUGAGGAUGGCAGAGGCAAGUGGAAUUACCGGUGUAGCAGUGAAAUGCGUAGAUAUCGGUAGGAACACCAAUGGCGAAGGCAGCUUGCUGGGCCACACCUGACGCUGAGGUACGAAAGCGUGGGGAGCGAACAGG
rnacentral:rRNA from 1 species